GAUCAUGGCUCAGGAUGAACGCUAGCUACAGGCUUAACACAUGCAAGUCGAGGGGCAGCAUGAACUUAGCUUGCUAAGUUUGAUGGCGACCGGCGCACGGGUGAGUAACACGUAUCCAACCUGCCGAUGACUCGGGGAUAGCCUUUCGAAAGAAAGAUUAAUACCCGAUGGCAUAGUUCUUCCGCAUGGUAGAACUAUUAAAGAAUUUCGGUCAUCGAUAAGGAUGCGUUCCAUUAGG
rnacentral:rRNA from 1 species